rnacentral:rRNA from 1 species
UUGAACGCUGGCGGCAGGCCUAACACAUGCAAGUCGAGCGGAUGAAGAGAGCUUGCUCUCUGAUUCAGCGGCGGACGGGUGAGUAAUGCCUAGGAAUCUGCCUGGUAGUGGGGGACAACGUCUCGAAAGGGACGCUAAUACCGCAUACGUCCUACGGGAGAAAGCAGGGGACCUUCGGGCCUUGCGCUAUCAGAUGAGCCUAGGUCGGAUUAGCUAGUUGGUGAGGUAAUGGCUCACCAAGGCGACGAUCCGUAACUGGUCUGAGAGGAUGAUCAGUCACACUGGAACUGAGACACGGUCCAGACUCCUACGGGAGGCAGCAGUGGGGAAUAUUGGACAAUGGGCGAAAGCCUGAUCCAGCCAUGCCGCGUGUGUGAAGAAGGUCUUCGGAUUGUAAAGCACUUUAAGUUGGGAGGAAGGGUUGUAGAUUAAUACUCUGCAAUUUUGACGUUACCGACAGAAUAAGCACCGGCUAACUCUGU